AUAUAUACCGGUCUCUGAGAUUUAAUCAAGCGAGUCUGGGUACAUUGCCUGAAAGUGGGUAAUUCUGAAUGCUUCAUUAAAUCACUUAUGAUUCCUUAGAUCCCGCGUAUACUGCGUAGAUAGUUGUAGCAAUUUUGGGACAAAUAUAUGCAAUUGUCUCGACGAGGGGAUGGGUGGAUAUAUUAAAAGAAAACCAACUGGGGAUAGUUUCGGCUGUCUUUGUUGAAUUCUGCGGUGAGUCUGGAUAACUGAAGUGAUAGUAAUCGGUCUUAUGUCGGGUACGGAUUUUUAAAAUAUCUCCCCUAUCAGUUUGUUGGUAGGUAGUCUACUUACCAUGAUGAUNNNNNNNNNNGGAAUCAAGGUUCGAUUCCCGAGAGGCAGCCGGGUGAGAAUUUCGCACCACAGUAGGGGACCUGAAAAUUACCCAGUCCUGGUAUAGGGUGGAGAGCAGUGACUAAAAUACUGAUACAGGACUCAGUUGAAACCGCACAAUUUGAAUGACGAAAAUUUAAUUCCUUUAACCAGGACGGAUUGGAGGUCAAGUGUAUACUCGCAGCCGCGGUGAAUCCAGCUCUGAAGGUGUCUAU
rnacentral:ncRNA from 1 species